CAUCUGAUUUACGCAGUAAAAAAUAUUUUGGUUGUUAUCAAAAAAGAAUCUACUCUAGAUGGACUACUUAGCUGUUGUUAUUGAUUCUGUUUGGAAGUCUACCGCAAGUUUAGUUAGGGCCAAAAAAGCGUGCAUGCGCAGUAACGUUUGUUUAUGUUGCCGUUGAAACCGUCUAUAGUCAGCCCCAAGCUGUUGCUGCAACGUUGUAGACAUGGUGUAAUAGGGCAAAUCGUGUCAAUCCAAAUGUAUGAAAUUAGGAAAAUAAAACAACCUCAACAGAAUGGUGCCAAAUAGGCCAUUGUGGCAAAUACAGUAGUAUACAGCAAUUUUUAAAAAAUACAGUAAGUCUCUGUAUGUGGGGUUUAACAUCACAGAAAAUUCCCAUGAUGCAAAGGGUAUUACAGUUGCUUACUGUAAAGGGAAUUUACUGUAUUAUAAUGGGUGAUAUACAGUAAAUGACUGUAGAAAUUACAGAAAUGUCUAACAGUGAGGUGACCAUUGCAUGUUCCCUUCACUAAUGAACUUCUAGAAGUUAUCCGGUUACAAAUGGCCUUCCCUUCCCAAAGUGUCCUUUAAGGGCACAAAACAGCCUUUUGGAAUAUGCUGUUUAUCUCAUUAUACAAGAAAACAACAAACGGUGCUAUUAUACACCCACAAUUACUUUCAAACAGUCUUUCUGCAAUAUUUCUUUUUGUGUAGGUUAUACCCAUUCAAAGAAUACCUAGCACCUCACUGGAUAUUAUAUAUAAAGAAGAUUUUAGCUGAAUGCAAUUGGAUGCUUUGUUAUUUAAACACUGUUUUAAACUUCUUUAUUGGGUUAAAUUCAAUAUUUGCUUGAAUUUAUUAAUAUUCACUUAAGUAUGUUUAUGUGAUUAUCAUAAAUCAACAUUAGUAUAUAAGUAACCUUUUAAAUAAUAAUAAUAAUAAUAACAAUAAAUAAAACAAUUAUGACUCUUGAGCAACUAGACUAUACUUAUUAAACAGCCAUACAGGCAUCUAGUGGUUAAACCGUGGCAUAUGGAUAAAAUUUUGAAUUUUUUUGGGCCACCAGAUGCCUCCAAUUUGUCUCUUUGCAUUGCAAUUUAAAAACGUUUUAUCUUUAAACUUAAUUUUACACUAACUGCAGAAAAUGUCAUAUUUAAAUUUGUUAUUAAUGGUUCAUAAUUACUGCACAAAUAUUUUUAUACCAGAAAUCCCCUCAAAAUAUUACAUAUUAAAAUAUUAAAUAAUAUCACUCCCAGAACCAAAGAACUAUUGAGAGCCCGCAUAAGUUCAUUUCAACUACUUCCGCACUCUAACCAAUACAAAACCUCAAUAAAACAGCAGCAGAUUUUCGUACAGUCUUACGAAGACUGUAGUUUAGAAAGUUAUCGAUUUGAGGUUACAGAAGUCGUACGAAUUAGCCACCUCGUAAAAUACAUAAGAAUUGGUCGUGAAAUAGCAUUAGUAUUGAUGAUUUAGGUUUUGACCUUACUAACAAUUCUUAGUUCCCAGAACGUUCUGGGAACGUUAGUUUUUGGUUCCCAAAACGUUCUGGGAACGUUAGUUUUUGGUUCCCAAAACGUUAUUUUUAAGGUUAGUUUUUGGUUAGCCAGGAAAGUUUUCUUUACGGAAAUAGAACGUUAGUUUCUGGUUUGUAGAACGUUAGGGGAACGUUAGACUAACGUUAGGGGAACGUUAGACUAACGUUAGGGGAACCUAACCCAAUUCACCACGUUUAUUAAUUCUUACCUUUUUCUCCAUUGGUACAUAGUUACAGAUAAAACAGUAAAUUUAUAUAAAUAAAUCAGUCCACAAUCCAUGUUCAUAUCCAUAGUUUUAUUGUCAAAUUCCAAUACAUUUAAUUAUCAAUAUAUAUAUAUAUAUAUAUAAUAAAAACAACACACAAAAGACAAGCAUGUAGCAUGAACAAAUAAAUUAACUAAAUUACCUAUAACUAUAAAAUUACUACUAGCUCUUCUUCUGCCUCAGUCAUACUGUAAAAGUAACAAAGAAAUAAAUAGUAGCUUAAGGAGCAUGAAAUUCAGAUUAAAUUACAUGAGCAGUUAAAUAAAAUACUCUACUUCAUAAAUUAAUACAUAUACAUUCAUGCAUAACCAUAAAUAGUCACUUCAGCAUACUUUUACGAUCAGCUUGUCAAAUCGUAAUAUAUGGGACUGUCAAGUUAACCUUUUAACACAUGCGAACAAAUAUUUAGGGCUGUUAAAGUUUGUGGAAUGUAAACCAUUUGUUUAUGCUUUGAAUUUCCCGUGCGGAAGACUUUUUUUAAGACUUUUUUUUUUGGUCUCAGUACUGUAUAAAAACAAAGACAUGGUAUGGAAAAUCAAGCCUUGUGCAUUAUAGGGAAUAAUAUUCUGAAUAUUUUUCAGGAGGUUUAAUACCUUUAUCUCGAACGCCAUCAGAGUUUAAUGAAUUUAAGUAUGUACAGUAUAUUAAACAUUAAAAUAUGGAUUCAUUAUUGUAUAUAAAACAGUAAAGGCAUAAUUUGAAAAUCAAAGCCUUGUACAUCAUAGGAAAAAAAUCUGAAUAUUUCAUGAAUGUGGUUAAUGAGCAACAUCCUAAUUACGGUAACAGUUUUUGUCGACAUGUGAAGUAAAUGUCAGUAAAUCAGUAAAUUUAUAUU
rnacentral:lncRNA from 1 species